ACGCUGGCGGCGUGCCUAACACAUGCAAGUCGAACGGAGAUUACAGACGGAAGUUUUCGGAUGGAAGACUGUAAUUCUUAGUGGCGGACGGGUGAGAAACGCGUGGGCAACCUGCCCUAUACAGGGGGAUAGCAGCUGGAAACGGCUGGUAAGACCGCAUAAGUCGGCGAGACCGCAUGGUUUUGCCGGGAAAUGAGCAAUCAGGUAUAGGAUGGGCCCGCGUCCGAUUAGCCAGUUGGCAGGGUAAAAGCCUACCAAAGCAACGAUCGGUAGCCGGACUGAGAGGUCGGACGGCCACAUUGGGACUGAGACACGGCCCAAACUCCUACGGGAGGCAGCAGUGGGGGAUAUUGCACAAUGGAGGAAACUCUGAUGCAGCGACGCCGCGUGAGUGAAGAAGUAUUUCGGUAUGUAAAGCUCUAUCAGCAGGGAAGAUGAUGACGGUACCUGACUAAGAAGCCCCGGCUAACUACGUGCCAGCAGCCGCGGUAAUACGUAGGGGGCAAGCGUUAUCCGGAUUUACUGGGUGUAAAGGGAGCGCAGGCGGUUUGGCAAGUUGAGAGUGGAAGCAGGGGGCUCAACCCCCUGACUGCUCCCAAAACUGUUAAACUUAAGUAUGGGAGAGGCAGGCGGAAUUCCUAGUGUAGCGGUGAAAUGCUUAGAUAUUAGGAAGAACACCGGUGGCGAAGGCGGCCUGCUGGACCAAAACUGACGCUGAGGCUCGAAAGCGUGGGUAGCAAACAGGAUUAGAUACCCUGGUAGUCCACGCUGUAAACGAUGAAUACUAGGUGCUGGGAGGCAUAAGCCUUUCGGUGCCGUCGCAAACGCAUUAAGUAUUCCACCUGGGGAGUACGUUCGCAAGAAUGAAACUCAAAGGAAUUGACGGGGACCCGCACAAGCGGUGGAGCAU
rnacentral:rRNA from 1 species